rnacentral:lncRNA from 1 species
AAAGAGUGCAACAUCUUCUCAAAUAGUGCAACAUGCUCUUCAAAAUAGUGCAAUAUCUGUAUAAUUAGUGCAACAUAUGCAUUGUUAAUACAUUUUGCAUGAUUUUUACACUAAGUUACAUACAGUUUAGUAUAUUACGCGAAAAUAAUAUAAUAUAUUACAACAUAUUAUAAAAAUUAUACAAUAUAUGUAUAAACGGUGCAUAUUUUACACUAUUUAUACAUAUAUUUUCACCAUUUAUGUAAAUAUUGCACUAUUAUAAGAGAAUGUCGCACCAUUUAGAUGUGUUUUGCACUCUUUCUUUUUAAAAAUUAAAUUUCAUUACAUAUUAAAUAAAGUGUCAAAUUUCUUGAAAAUGACAACUGCUAAGCCAUAAUAACAUGUACCUUUCUCGUGAAACGAGAAACCUCAUUCAAAAGAAAAUAAAAAAAUAAAGAAUAAUUAGUAAGAUGAAAGAGUGCAACAUCCUCUCAAAUAGUGCAACAAGCUCUUCAAAAUAGUGCAAUAUCUGUAUAAGUAGUGCAACAUACACAUUGUUAAUACACAUUUUACAUAAUUUUUACACUAAAUUACAUACAGUUUAAUAUAUUACGCGAAAAUAAUAUGCAACAUAUAAUAUAAUAAACUGUAUGUAAUUAAUUUAGUGUAAAAAUCAUACAAAAUGUGUAUUAAAAAUGCAUAUGUUGCACUACUUAUACAGAUAUUGCACUAUUUUGAAGAGCUUGUUACACUAUUUGAGAGGAUGUUGCACUCUUUCAUCUUAUUAAUUAUUCUUUAUUUUUUUUAUUUUCUCUUGAAUGAGACUUCUCGUUUCACGAGAAAGUUACAUGUAAUUAUGGCUUAGCAGUUGUCAUUUUCAAGAAGUUUUACACUUCAUUUAAUAUGCAAUUAAAUUUAAUUUUCAAAAAGAAAGAGUGCAACACAUCUAAAUGGUGCAACAUCCUCUCAUAAUAGUGUAAUAUUUACACAAAUGGUGUAAAUAUAUGUAUAAAUAAUGUAAAAUAUACACCGUUUGUACAUAUAUUGUAUAAUUUUUAUAAUAUAUUGUAAUAUAUUAUAUUAUUUUCGCGUAAUAUACUAAACUGUACGUAACUUAGUAUAAAAAUCAUGCAAAAUGUGUAUUAACAAUGCAUAUGUUGCACUACUUAUACAGAUAUUGCACUAUUUUGAAGAGUUUGUUGCACUAUUUGAGAGGAUGUUGCACUCUUUCAUCUUAUUAAUUAUUCUUUUUUUUAAUUUUCUCUUGAAUUAGGUUUUUCGUUUCACGAGAAAGGUAUAUGUAAUUAUGACUUAGUAGUUGUCAUUUCAAGAAGUUUUACACUUAGUGACUUAACAGUUAUAUUUUCUAGGCAUUUAAAGCAUAUAAUUUUUAUGCAUUUUGACAGAAGGGUAGUUUGGUCAUCCUUCUGAAAAUUCGGUCCGAAUCUGCAAAAACUAAAAAGGUGGCCCACUUUUGCAAAAGCGCAAAAUUAGUGGAUUUUUUAUGCAAAUUGGCCUUAUA